GUCGUAACAAGGUUUCCGUAGGUGAACCUGCGGAAGGAUCAUUACAUUUUCACAACAACGAUGGCGUCGUCCUUAGAACCGUCUCCGUGCGGCUCGGGGCGGCGUUUCAUCAGCGGGCACGUCGCGGCUUCCUCUCAGGAAGUAAUCACGCGGGGUCGUCUGAAUCCUUAACUUUACGAGAACUCCCCAUACUCCUUCGGUGGGGUGACCUGCCGUUGGAACCAACAAAAAACUUUUUUUGCAUCUAGUAUUACCUGUUCUGAUACAAACAAUCGUUACAACUUUCAACAAUGGAUCUCUUGGCUCUGGCAUCGAUGAAGAACGCAGCGAAAUGCGAUAAGUAGUGUGAAUUGCAGAAUUCAGUGAAUCAUCGAAUCUUUGAACGCACAUUGCGCCCCUUGGUAUUCCAUGGGGCAUGCCUGUUCGAGCGUCAUCUACACCCUCAAGCUCUGCUUGGUGUUGGGCGUCUGUCCCGCCUCCGCGCGUGGACUCGCCCCAAAUUCAUUGGCAGCGGUCUUCUUGCCCCCUCUCGUGCAGCACAUUGCGCUUCUCGAGGGCGGCGGGCCGCGUCCACGAAGCAACAUUCACCGUCUUUGACCUCGGAUCAGGUAGGGAUACCCGCUGAACUU
rnacentral:rRNA from 1 species